CCCAUGGUCUUUUUUUACCCUGACUUAGAAUAUUCUGGGUUUUCUUCUUUCCUAGAGCAGAGCUUCCCAGUCUGUAUCCCAGGGAAGGCAAACAGACCACAGGUGUGGCACACAACAUUAAUCCACCAGUAAGGAGGAGGCUUGAGGGACCGUGGGCUUCAGGACCAGUAGCAUCUCCUGCAGCUCCUUGGGUGGUAGCCUGAACUGAUGAAGUUUGGCUUCCUCUCCGCCAUCCUGUGUUGACCACUGCGACUGCAGAGACGUACCCAUGGAGAUGCAGAAGGAAACACUGCCUAGGCACUCCAGAAAUUCAACCCCAAGUGCCAAAAUGAGGGGAUGGUUUUAAUCUACAGAGUUCCAAAGCAACCAGAAGAUCCUCUCAAGUCAUCCAAAAAACAGCUCAUUGAGGAUGAAAUGCUUUUGUUUCAAUGACCUGCUCUGAUAAGUCUGCUGAACGUCCAGCUUUGUGACCACCAACCCAACCACACAAAUGGCUUCACAAAAGCAGAAGGUGGUUAAUACUUACAUGGAA